rnacentral:rRNA from 1 species
GAUGAACGCUGGCGGCGUGCCUAAUACAUGCAAGUCGAGCGAACAGAUGAGGAGCUUGCUCCUCUGACGUUAGCGGCGGACGGGUGAGUAACACGUGGAUAACCUACCUAUAAGACUGGGAUAACUUCGGGAAACCGGAGCUAAUACCGGAUAAUAUAUUGAACCGCAUGGUUCAAUAGUGAAAGACGGUUUUGCUGUCACUUAUAGAUGGAUCCGCGCCGCAUUAGCUAGUUGGUAAGGUAACGGCUUACCAAGGCGACGAUGCGUAGCCGACCUGAGAGGGUGAUCGGCCACACUGGAACUGAGACACGGUCCAGACUCCUACGGGAGGCAGCAGUAGGGAAUCUUCCGCAAUGGGCGAAAGCCUGACGGAGCAACGCCGCGUGAGUGAUGAAGGUCUUCGGAUCGUAAAACUCUGUUAUUAGGGAAGAACAAAUGUGUAAGUAACUAUGCACGUCUUGUCGGUACCUAAUCAGAAAGCCACGGCUAACUACGUG